UACAGAGGUCUCAAGCGUUGUUCGGAUUCAUUGGGCGUAAAGGGUGCGUAGGUGGCGCCGUAAGUCAGGUGUGAAAUUUCGGAGCUUAACUCCGAAACUGCAUUUGAUACUGCGGUGCUUGAGGACUGGAGAGGAGACUGGAAUUCACGGUGUAGCAGUGAAAUGCGUAGAUAUCGUGAGGAAGACCAGUGGCGAAAGGCGGGGUCUCUGGACAAGUUCCUGACACUGAGGCAGCGAAG
rnacentral:rRNA from 1 species